UUUUUUUCAUCGUAGUGUGACCAUUAUGAUGUAAAAGUGUAUUUCUUCUUCAUUUCUUCAAGACUCGAGAUUUCCCCUCCUGUCUCCUUUUUCCUCACCAUCAGAUCUGUAAGGAACACCACUGCUUCUCCGUGUGUCUGAUUCUCCUCCAGAAACAAGGCUUCUCUCAUGAGUGUUCUUUCACUCACAUUAAAGACCCUACAGGGAAUCAGUACCACAUACAUGCGCCUUCUAGAGAAUUCUUUUGAAGGAUGAGCCUUUUCCAGCAAGGGAUAGGUGGGGAAAACUUCAGCAAAAGCACUGAUGGUGAAAAUUUAAUGUAUACACUUGUAUAGCUAACACCAAAGCAAAGUUGGGAAUGUGAUCAAAUAAUAGAAUGUAAACAUGUGUUCUGGCCAAGCAGGAAGAGUGUAACUAAAAAACAGUGGAAGAAGGGAGGAAGAAGGGACCACCAUCUCAUUCAUUGUUCAUUCUCUCGUAUUAUUCAUUAAAUCAAUGAUAUUGACAAAUAUUGGGUAUGAGUCGUAUCACACCACUUAAAAUGGACGAAACAAUAAAAAGUGAAGAAAAAGAGAAAUCAAAGGUAUUAAAAAAGACAUAAGUCUAGAAGUAUCCAAAUGUUCCUGCAUGAAAACAACAUGGCCAAAUAUCUUGACCCAGUAAUAUGGCUGCUACAGAUGGAAUGUUUGUGUCUGUCCAGAAUUUGUAUGUUGAAGACUCUUUCCUCGGUAUUGGGAAAUGGGACCUUGGGAAGUGAUUGGGUCACGGGGUAGAGCCCUCAUGAAUGAGAUUCAUGCCCUUAGAAGAGAGGCUCCGGAAAGCUCCCUCCUCCCCUCCAUUAUGUGAGGACACAGCAAAAAACAGCCAUUCCAUGCCUUUAUCUCAGACUUCCCACCUCCGGAACUGUGAGAAAUAAAUUUCUGUUGUUUAUAAGCCACCCAGUCUAUGGUAUUCUUGGUUUAGCAGCCUGAAUGGACUAAAACAAUGGCUCUGGAAAUUGCUCAGUUCAGUGAUUUGAAGGAGAGGAUAAGGAAAUGUUCACACACCCGACUCUGGGGAGGGCAAAGUGUGUGUCUAGAAAGAAAACAGUGCUUUGUCUCACUGCUUCGACUUGUUUCUAGUUGUGGGAUUUCAUCUGUUUUGAAUUUUAUAAACAUUUCAAUAAUGUAUGAGAUUUUUGGGAUGAUGAAAAGAGAAAAUGGGUUCAAAAGGGUUAAGAAACAGUAAUCUAAGCAAGUUUCCAUAUUUGGAGGAUAAGUGCAAGCACCUGAAAUCGAGUCUCUUCAUACAGACCUGAAAUUCAACAGGAGCACAAGAGUACCACCCGUAGCCCAUGACGUCAGCAUGAGAAGAGACAGAAUACCCCAAACUUCAAAUUACCAACAAGGAGAGAAAUGAAGGCUGUAUCCCAAGAGAGCUCCUAUCACUUGUCACUAUAAGCUGGGUCAGCACGUGGGCAGCUUAACAUACACCAGGCUUUCAGACACCUGUGUCUCAGGAUUGGUGACUCCUUUAAGUCUCCAGAUCUCCUGAAGGGGUGUCUGUUGUGCGUGCUCAGGUGGACCACUCAGUGUGCCCGUCAGCUGUGCCCUGCGGUCUGUGCUGUGGCCUGUGAGAUGGAUGGCAUCAUCACAUUGCCACUCAGCAAGGUCAGUGGCAAACAUGGGAAACUACAGGGUGGUCGUACGUGAAAUACGUGCAGAAAACAAAAGCUGAGCGUGGCUUCCGUAGCACAAAUACAAAAUGCCCCGAAUGCUUUUCCCGCUUUUCCCGCAUGUGGUUUUGUCGUUUGCUGUAUGGUCUGAAUCCACAACUUUUCAUUCUGAUAUUUAGUAAUUCCUUUUUUUGUUUGUUUGUUUGAUAAAUAAACAAUGUGGGGAACAAUAUACUUUUUAAAAAAGUACGUGCUUAGUGAAAAAAAUUAUUACUAUCUUUUUGAUUCUUGGGGAAGUUAUAAUGAACAUGUAAUUUACACUAAAUUUUUGUGACGUCACCAUCCAGCCAGGGACUGGCCACAAGAAAACCUGUGGACAAAAUCUACUAAAGGACUGUCAGCAUCUAUUUCAGAAGUUAGUGGUUAUUUUAAGAAGAUUGUAGGGGCGCCUGGGUGGCUCAGUCGGUUAAGCGUCCAACAUCAUCAGCUCAGGUGAUGAUCUCGCGGUUUGUGAGUUUGAGCCCCGCGUCAAGCUCUGUGCUGACAGCUUGGGAGCCUGGAUCCUGCUUCAGAUUCUGUAUCCCCCCCACCCCGCCCCUUCUCUGCUUGUACUCUCUCUUUCCCUCCCUGAAAAGUAAAUAAACAUUAGAAAAAAUUUUUUAAAAAGAUCAUACUUGAAGUUGGCUAUUUAACAUAAGUGGAUACCAAAAAUGUAUUUAUGUAUCACGGUGAAGCAGUGCUGACGUUGUAUUUAGAUCAAAUGUCUGUUUUUCUUUUUUCUCUUUAAAAAAUUUUUAACGUUUAUUCAUUUUUGAGAGACAGAGAGAGACGGAGUGCUGGCAGGGGUGGAGCAGAGGCAGAGGGAGGCACAGAAUCCGAAGCAGCUCCAGGCUCUGAGCUGUCGGCACAGAGCCCGACGUGGGGCUUGAAUUCACUGACGGGACCACGAGAUCAUGACCUGAGCUGAAGUUGGAGGCUUACCGGACUGAACCACCCAGAUUGGUUUUCCCUCCAAACUGUGCUUUGAAUUCUGUUAUCUCCAAGGUUGGAGCUGGAGCGGGAGUUGGGAUUACAGAAAGUGUGGAGGAAGGCACAACUUUGUAGCUGGUGGAUACGGUGUCAGCUCUGUGGGCUCAAUAGAAUUCUCAAGGCCUUGCACCAAGAACAAAGGUCGGAAAGAGAAGUUUGUUCACAGUUCCUGACUGAACGGGGAGAAGACAUUUAAUGGAAACAUGAACCUCAUGCCUGGGUCUCCUGGAACUUGUAGCUGAACCUAGGAGUUUGUGGCCAAGCCUACCAACCACAUCCCCCAACGAUGUCUUCUCUUUUGGCACGUUGGUCAUGGAGUUGGGAGAGGACAGCACCCAGUCCAUUCUUAUCUUUAAAGAGAGAAGAAACAGCGAAGUCUGUGACAUUCAGGUUUCUGUGCCCUCUCUCCUCUCACUGGUCAUCUUGCCCAGCUCAGCAGACUGUGCAUACCCAGCUCACUAACCAGAGAGAACUGGCUAGCUCAGGCAGCUGGUGAGUCAAGAGUGUGCUCAAGUGUGGUUGUCAAGAGUGGUACAGCCGAUCUCCCACAUCUUAGCCUUUUCUGAGCUCCUGAGCCCUGCGGUAGCAUCUGGGCGGCACAAACGGGCGUGCAGCCAGGAAUCAGUCGGUGGGAACAUGACAUGCGCAGUUCUGCGGUGACCACACUCUGUAGCUUUCUGUCCUUUGUCCUUUCAAUAAACAUAGAUGGAGCAUCUACUAUAUAUUGGGCACUAGGGAUUCUUGGGGGAUACAGGUAUGAAUGUAACAUGAUCCUUGACCCAAGGAACUUCUAGUUUUCAUGGGAAACAAGCAUAUAAAUGAAACCUUCCAACAGACCCCUAAGAUAUAAGCCAUAAUUCCUAGCCUGUGCUACUGACGGUGGUAGGAGUUGGGAUAGAGAUCCUACUAGAAGUCACAGAUUUGCAUUGCUCUGACUCCCACCCACAGAAGUCUAGGCAUUUCUCGGGUCUUCCAUAAGGUUAUGAAGACCUCUUGGCUGCCACAGUGCAACACAGGUCUUCUUCCUCUGUCUGCCCAUGCUCACUGUGGUCAGCUGUCCUGGAUCCGGUGACAUGUAGAUAUGAAUGCCCGC